CGUAUGGCAGCGUGCAUGACGCCUGCCCAGACAAAGGUUUUACCACCUCCUCCUCCUCACCACCUUCCAUUCAAGCCAUCAACUCUCCUUACUACAGGAGUUCCCAGCACAUGGCCCGAAACGUCGGACAUCAUUCCGAACAAGGCACGGUACAGCCCUAAUACCCAUCAGAGGGCUAAGCCCCAAAUUCUGCAUUGGAUGAAAUCGGAUCCCAUCUCUCAAAGCACAUGUCAAAGUCAAAGUAUUUAUUGCUCAAAUGAGCAUUGGAGUGAUGCUCAUCCCUCGUUUACAGCAAUGGAAAUAUUCAGUACGACAUCGCAGCACGUUCUGUAUCCCCUGCAGCACACGCUGUUUAGGGGCCAUCCAUUUAGUACGUACGCAUG